GUUCUUAUAUAUAUGCUUGUCUGUUUACGGUAAGAAGGAAGGAUGUUUGGACUGGGAGGGGUUGGCGGUGGGAUGGAAUAAGUGGUUGUUGUUAUUUUUGAAAAAGGAAAAAGUCCUUAUUUCUCAUUAUAUGUAUUUGUGCCUGUCAAA